GACGUAGGGCGCGAGCGUUGUCCGGAAUUAUUGGGCGUAAAGAGCUCGUAGGCGGCUUGUCGCGUCGGCUGUGAAAUCCCGUGGCUUAACUGUGGGCGUGCGGGCGAUACGGGCAGACUGGAGUACUGCAGGGGAGACUGGAAUUCCUGGUGUAGCGGUGGAAUGCGCAGAUAUCAGGAGGAACACCGGUGGCGAAGGCGGGUCUCUGGGCAGUAACUGACGCUGAGGAGCGAAAGCGUGGGGAGCGAACAGG
rnacentral:rRNA from 1 species